UGAUUUGUACGCCUUAUUUCAAACUGUCCCAAAUAAGUCACACUCGCUUCUUGGCGAUGGGCCAGAGUUAACCCUACUAUUUCAUAUCGUCAUAUCGCGUCAUUUUGACUUCAGUUACUGAAGAUCGUGUCGGCACGUGUUUUGCAAUAAGUUGAAUCUCAAUUAUAAAGUUCAGUUUGAAAUUGAAGACCGUUUUUUUUUAAACUGCAUUUUUACCGAAAUUAAGUUAUACAUGGAUUCUAUAUAAAAAUUCAAUGCCCGACCAGCUGGUAGCGUCAGAUUAAGGAAAACACGUUAACGACGAGAGGUACAGCAUAGACAAAUUUCUGAGGUUCUUCAAAACUCGAUAACUGCGCGCGCUUUUUUAAAACUUGAUAAGUAGCGAACCUGCAUUACUUAAAUGAAUCAUUUUGUUAGUACUGUUUCAGCUCUGCUCCAGUGAUUUUUGUUUUCUUUUUGAAAUAUGCAUCAAAUAACGGCAUAAUAUAGUAAAGACGUAAAACUCAUAAAAAAGGGAAGAAAAUUUCGUAUCUCUAAGGAAUAGCAUUCAAGUAAGACCAAAGAUUACGCGUUAUAGAAAAGCGAGGUUAAGUGAAGCGGACAUCGCAUGUAAUAAUUUCGAAAGCAAGAGAAAAGGUGUUGUUUGUAAUGCAAGAGAACUGACAAGAAAUGAGAUACUUGGUUUUAGGGAAAUGAUAUAUGCAAACGACGCGAAAAAAAUUGAUCAAGAUAAAAUACUGCUUAAAUUCAUGCAAGUUGAUGUACCUAGCGAAAAACUACAGAUGAAACAGUUUUGAGGCGAAACGGAAAACUUUCGGUCAAAUAUUCAAUUAGAACUUCUUGAGGCAAUAUUCCUGUUUGUGCUGCCACAUUUUAAAAUAUUUUUAUUUGUUGUUCCUCUGAACUUGUCUCAUGUCUUGGGUGCAAGUAAAGAUAGACUGUCUGCUAUUUCAAAAAAAAUUAUCGCCGGAGAACUAUUAGUUGAAAAGCGGGGAGGUCGUGUACCGAGUCAGAUUGAUAAGGAUAUUUCUGAAGCAAUAAAGACACACAUAAGCAGCUACAAA